rnacentral:rRNA from 1 species
GCCCUUAGAGUUUGAUCAUGGCUCAGAACGAACGCUGGCGGCAGGCUUAACACAUGCAAGUCGAGCGAAGACUUCGGUCUUAGCGGCGGACGGGUGAGUAACGCGUGGGAACGUGCCCUUUGCUACGGAAUAGUCCCUGGAAACGGGGUUUAAUACCGUAUGUCCUCUCUGGAGGAAAGAUUUAUCGGCAAAGGAUCGGCCCGCGUUGGAUUAGGUAGUUGGUGGGGUAAUGGCCUACCAAGCCGACGAUCCAUAGCUGGUUUGAGAGGAUGAUCAGCCACACUGGGACUGAGACACGGCCCAGACUCCUACGGGAGGCAGCAGUGGGGAAUCUUAGACAAUGGGGGAAACCCUGAUCUAGCCAUGCCGCGUGAGCGAUGAAGGCCUUAGGGUUGUAAAGCUCUUUCGCUGGGGAAGAUAAUGACGGUACCCAGUAAAGAAGCCCCGGCUAA